GACGAACGCUGUCGGCGUGCUUAACACAUGCAAGUCGAACGGAAAGGCCCUGCUUUUGUGGGGUGCUCGAGUGGCGAGCGGGUGAGUAACACGUGAGUAACCUGCCCUUGACUUUGGGAUAACUUCAGGAAACUGGGGCUAAUACCGGAUAGGAGCUCCUGCUGCAUGGUGGGGGUUGGAAAGUUUCGGCGGUUGGGGAUGGACUCGCGGCUUAUCAGCUUGUUGGUGGGGUAGUGGCUUACCAAGGCUUUGACGGGUAGCCGGCCUGAGAGGGUGACCGGCCACAUUGGGACUGAGAUACGGCCCAGACUCCUACGGGAGGCAGCAGUGGGGAAUAUUGCACAAUGGGCGGAAGCCUGAUGCAGCAACGCCGCGUGCGGGAUGACGGCCUUCGGGUUGUAAACCGCUUUCGCCUGUGACGAAGCGUGAGUGACGGUAAUGGGUAAAGAAGCACCGGCUAACUACGUGCCAGCAGCCGCGGUGAUACGUAGGGUGCGAGCGUUGUCCGGAUUUAUUGGGCGUAAAGGGCUCGUAGGUGGUUGAUCGCGUCGGAAGUGUAAUCUUGGGGCUUAACCCUGAGCGUGCUUUCGAUACGGGUUGACUUGAGGAAGGUAGGGGAGAAUGGAAUUCCUGGUGGAGCGGUGGAAUGCGCAGAUAUCAGGAGGAACACCAGUGGCGAAGGCGGUUCUCUGGGCCUUUCCUGACGCUGAGGAGCGAAAGCGUGGGGAGCGAACAGGCUUAGAUACCCUGGUAGUCCACGCCGUAAACGGUGGGUACUAGGUGUGGGGUCCAUUCCACGGGUUCCGUGCCGUAGCUAACGCUUUAAGUACCCCGCCUGGGGAGUACGGCCGCAAGGCUAAAACUCAAAGGAAUUGACGGGGCCCCGCACAAGCGGCGGAGCAUGCGGAUUAAUUCGAUGCAACGCGUAGAACCUUACCUGGGUUUGACAUGGAUCGGGAGUGCUCAGAGAUGGGUGUGCCUCUUUUGGGGUCGGUUCACAGGUGGUGCAUGGCUGUCGUCAGCUCGUGUCGUGAGAUGUUGGGUUAAGUCCCGCAACGAGCGCAACCCUUGUUCACUGUUGCCAGCACGUUAUGGUGGGGACUCAGUGGAGACCGCCGGGGUCAACUCGGAGGAAGGUGGGGAUGACGUCAAGUCAUCAUGCCCCUUAUGUCCAGGGCUUCACGCAUGCUACAAUGGCUGGUACAGAGAGUGGCGAGCCUGUGAGGGUGAGCGAAUCUCGGAAAGCCGGUCUCAGUUCGGAUUGGGGUCUGCAACUCGACCUCAUGAAGUCGGAGUCGCUAGUAAUCGCAGAUCAGCAACGCUGCGGUGAAUACGUUCCCGGGGCU
rnacentral:rRNA from 1 species